rnacentral:rRNA from 1 species
AAUCAACGCUGGCGGCGUGCCUCAGACAUGCAAGUCGAACGCGAAAGUUCCCUUCGGGGGCAAGUAGAGUGGCGCACGGGUGAGUAACACGUAGGUAAUCUACCUUCGGAUGGGGAAUAACAAUCGGAAACGAUUGCUAAUACCGCAUAAUGCAGCGGCACCUAAUGGUGACAGUUGUUAAAGCGGGGGAGUCGAAAGACCUCGCGUCUGAAGAGGAGCCUGCGGCGGAGUUAGCUAGUUGGUAAGGUAAUGGCUUACCAAGGCAACGAUCCGUAACCGGCCUGAGAGGGCGGUCCGGUCACACUGACACUGACAUACGGGUCAGACUCCUACGGGAGGCAGCAGUCGGGUAAUUUUUGGGCAAGUGGGCGAAAGCCUGACCCCAGCAACGCCGCGUGAAGGA